rnacentral:lncRNA from 1 species
ACAUCGAAAGAAUCAACAACCUAUCAUUUAUACUAGCUGACUUGCAACAAAAGACAAAAAACGCAGAACAAGAAAGAGACAGCGUAAUUACUGCCAUGCGUCUGCUAAUUGCUGAAACCAAUAGCGUAGUAGAAAACAAUGUUAUUGAACAAAAGCUGUGCAAUGAAGUGGAUGAUUGCACCCAGUCAAAAGAUAUUAUAAACCCGAAUAUUAAAUUAAAGAACAAAUAUUCGGUACUGGAAAACGAGCAAGUAGACGGCGGCGAAUCAAGCGCAAUAUCAAACCAGAAAACUGAGGAAGAUCAAGUACAACAAAAAAAGAAAAGGAAAUCCAAGUCAAAGAAAAAGACAACCAAAGAUGACGCAUCACGUAAGCC